CGUUAAAACACCGGUUUCUGUAAGAUCGCCAAAGUUAAGCAACGUCGAGCCUGGUCAGUAUCUAGAUGGGUGACCGUUUGGGAAUAUCAGGUGCUGUAAG